GUGUAUAGCCAUACCAUGCUGAACUCACAUAAUCUCUCUGAUUUGCAAGCUGAGCAGGGUUGGGCCUGGUUAGUACUUAGUAAUUGAAUGAGAGAUAAUCAUAGAACUAUCAAAA
rnacentral:rRNA from 1 species